CCUGUAGAGAUACGGGGGUGCCUUCGGGAGCUGUGAGACAGGUGCUGCAUGGCUGUCGUCAGCUCGUGUUGUGAAAUGUUGGGUUAAGUCCCGCAACGAGCGCAACCCUUAUCCUUUGUUGCCAGCGGUCCGGCCGGGAACUCAAAGGAGACUGCCAGUGAUAAACUGGAGGAAGGUGGGGAUGACGUCAAGUCAUCAUGGCCCUUACGACCAGGGCUACACACGUGCUACAAUGGCGCAUACAAAGAGAAGCGACCUCGCGAGAGCAAGCGGACCUCAUAAAGUGCGUCGUAGUCCGGACUGGAGUCUGCAACUCGACUCCAUGAAGUCGGAAUCGCUAGUAAUCGUGGAUCAGAAUGCCACGGUGAAUACGUUCCCGGGCCUUGUACACACCGCCCGUCACACCAUGGGAGUGGGUUGCAAAAGAAGUAGGUAGCUUAACCUUCGGGAGGGCGCUUACCACUUUGUGAUUCAUGACUGGGGUGAAGUCGUAACAAGGUAACCGUAGGGGAACCUGCGGUUGGAUC
rnacentral:rRNA from 1 species